rnacentral:rRNA from 1 species
AAGUAAAAGUCGUAACAAGGUUUCCGUAGGUGAACCUGCGGAAGGAUCAUUAACGAAUCGUCAAACAUGGGUUGUCGCUGGUCCCAAACGGGGCACGUGCACGCUCUGUUUACGCAUCCACUCACACCUGUGCACCCUCUGUAGUUCUAUGGUUCGGAAGGCCCCGUCUUCCUUCUGUGGUUCUACGUCUUUACACACACGCUGUAGUGACGUCUUGUGGAAUGUUUUUUGCGUUUAACGCGAUACAAUACAACUUUCAGCAACGGAUCUCUUGGCUCUCGCAUCGAUGAAGAACGCAGCGAAAUGCGAUAAGUAAUGUGAAUUGCAGAAUUCAGUGAAUCAUCGAAUCUUUGAACGCACCUUGCGCCCCUUGGUUAUUCCUUGGGGCAUGCCUGUUUGAGUAUCAUGAACACUUCAACUCUCACGGUCUUCCGUGACGAGCUUGGACUUUGGAGGCUUGCCGGCCCUACGGUCGGCUCCUCUCAAACAAAUCAGCUUGCCAGUGUUUGGCGGCGUUCCGGGUGUGAUAACUAUCUACGCUCGUGGUCGUCUGCCAGGUAACCCUCAGCGAUGAAGGUUCAUUGGGGCUCAUAGAUGUCUCUCCUCAGCGAAGACGACUUUUGAACGUUCGAUCUCAAAUCAGGUAGGACUACCCGCUGAACUUAAGCAUA